rnacentral:pre_miRNA from 1 species
UACCCUGUAGUUCCGGAUUUGUCUUGAAUCUCAGCAAAGCAAACAAAUUCGAUUCCUCGGGGUUUC